AUUAAUUUGAGAGUUUGAUCCUGGCUCAGGACGAACGCUGGCGGCGUGCCUAAUACAUGCAAGUCGAACGAACUCUGGUAUUGAUUGGUGCUUGCAUCAUGAUUUACAUUUGAGUGAGUGGCGAACUGGUGAGUAACACGUGGGAAACCUGCCCAGAAGCGGGGGAUAACACCUGGAAACAGAUGCUAAUACCGCAUAACAACUUGGACCGCAUGGUCCGAGCUUGAAAGAUGGCUUCGGCUAUCACUUUUGGAUGGUCCCGCGGCGUAUUAGCUAGAUGGUGGGGUAACGGCUCACCAUGGCAAUGAUACGUAGCCGACCUGAGAGGGUAAUCGGCCACAUUGGGACUGAGACACGGCCCAAACUCCUACGGGAGGCAGCAGUAGGGAAUCUUCCACAAUGGACGAAAGUCUGAUGGAGCAACGCCGCGUGAGUGAAGAAGGGUUUCGGCUCGUAAAACUCUGUUGUUAAAGAAGAACAUAUCUGAGAGUAACUGUUCAGGUAUUGACGGUAUUUAACCAGAAAGCCACGGCUAACUACGUGCCAGCAGCCGCGGUAAUACGUAGGUGGCAAGCGUUGUCCGGAUUUAUUGGGCGUAAAGCGAGCGCAGGCGGUUUUUUAAGUCUGAUGUGAAAGCCUUCGGCUCAACCGAAGAAGUGCAUCGGAAACUGGGAAACUUGAGUGCAGAAGAGGACAGUGGAACUCCAUGUGUAGCGGUGAAAUGCGUAGAUAUAUGGAAGAACACCAGUGGCGAAGGCGGCUGUCUGGUCUGUAACUGACGCUGAGGCUCGAAAGUAUGGGUAGCAAACAGGAUUAGAUACCCUGGUAGUCCAUACCGUAAACGAUGAAUGCUAAGUGUUGGAGGGUUUCCGCCCUUCAGUGCUGCAGCUAACGCAUUAAGCAUUCCGCCUGGGGAGUACGGCCGCAAGGCUGAAACUCAAAGGAAUUGACGGGGGCCCGCACAAGCGGUGGAGCAUGUGGUUUAAUUCGAAGCUACGCGAAGAACCUUACCAGGUCUUGACAUACUAUGCAAAUCUAAGAGAUUAGACGUUCCCUUCGGGGACAUGGAUACAGGUGGUGCAUGGUUGUCGUCAGCUCGUGUCGUGAGAUGUUGGGUUAAGUCCCGCAACGAGCGCAACCCUUAUUAUCAGUUGCCAGCAUUAAGUUGGGCACUCUGGUGAGACUGCCGGUGACAAACCGGAGGAAGGUGGGGAUGACGUCAAAUCAUCAUGCCCCUUAUGACCUGGGCUACACACGUGCUACAAUGGAUGGUACAACGAGUUGCGAACUCGCGAGAGUAAGCUAAUCUCUUAAAGCCAUUCUCAGUUCGGAUUGUAGGCUGCAACUCGCCUACAUGAAGUCGGAAUCGCUAGUAAUCGCGGAUCAGCAUGCCGCGGUGAAUACGUUCCCGGGCCUUGUACACACCGCCCGUCACACCAUGAGAGUUUGUAACACCCAAAGUCGGUGGGGUAACCUUUUAGGAACCAGCCGCCUAAGGUGGGACAGAUGAUUAGGGUGAAGUCGUAACAAGGUAGCCGUAGGAGAACCUGCGGCUGGAUCACCUCCUUUCU
rnacentral:rRNA from 7 species